rnacentral:rRNA from 1 species
GACGAACGCUGGCGGCGUGCUUAACACAUGCAAGUCGAACGCUGAAGCUUGGUGCUUGCACUGGGUGGAUGAGUGGCGAACGGGUGAGUAAUACGUGAGUAACCUGCCCUUGACUCUGGGAUAAGCCUGGGAAACUGGGUCUAAUACUGGAUACGACAUGCCACUGCAUGGUGGUGUGUGGAAAGGGUUUUACUGGUUUUGGAUGGGCUCACGGCCUAUCAGCUUGUUGGUGGGGUAAUGGCCUACCAAGGCGACGACGGGUAGCCGGCCUGAGAGGGUGACCGGCCACACUGGGACUGAGACACGGCCCAGACUCCUACGGGAGGCAGCAGUGGGGAAUAUUGCACAAUGGGCGGAAGCCUGAUGCAGCGACGCCGCGUGAGGGAUGACGGCCUUCGGGUUGUAAACCUCUUUCAGCACGGAAGAAGCGAGAGUGACGGUACGUGCAGAAGAAGCGCCGGCUAACUACGU